rnacentral:rRNA from 1 species
GCAAAACGCGAAGAACCUUACCUAGGCUUGACAUGCACUGGACCGACUGUGAAAGCAGUCUUCCCUUCGGGGCCGGUGCACAGGUGCUGCAUGGCUGUCGUCAGCUCGUGUCGUGAGAUGUUCGGUUAAGUCCGGCAACGAGCGCAACCCUCGUCCUUAUUUGCCAGCGGGUAAUGCCGGGAACCAUAAGGAGACAAACCUCUAUUCGAGGUGGGAAGGUGGGGAUGAUGUCAAGUCAGUAUGGCCCUUACGCCUAGGGCUACACACGUGCUACAAUGCCUGGUAUAGUGAGACGCAAUACCGCGAGGUGGAGCAAAUCUUCAAAGCCAGGCCCAGUUCGGAUUGGAGUCUGCAACUCGACUCCAUGAAGCCGGAAUCGCUAGUAACGGCGUAUCAGCAACGACGCCGUGAAUACGUUCCCCCGGGUCUUGUACAC